CUUGUUUUCUGUUCUGUGAUUAAAUCUCUAUGUUAAUCUGCAUUUAGGUGGCCAAUCUUAAACUUUCAAACAGGACCUGUGCAGACUCUCAGGUUGAUUCCUUCAAAGUGUUUUUGGCUAAAAUAAAUCUGCCAACUGGACUCACGUCUUUUUUGGACCCACAUUUUGAUCAUGUUUCAGAUUAGGUUUCUUUUCCCAGAUGGUGGGGAUCAUAGAUAUGCUCUGUUCACGGAGAAGGACAUCUGGGCUAAGAAUAGCUCAGGUCUUAUUUUCGAGUCCAGCACCGCCCCACUCCGGUUUCUGCAAGGUCCUGAUUUAUUUAAGAAGCACAGACCCUCAGUAUUGGUUUGGCUCAAGACUUCCCGAGCAGGACAUGUAACCCAGAAAUAUAGCCAGUGAGUAUUCAUGCUGAAUUGAGUCUUUCUUGUGUGUCUGAACUGAAAGUGAACAAACCACAACAACUGUUGCCACAAAAAUAAGUUUAGGAUGAAAUUCUUAGUAUGUGGGAAUAAAACAAGAAGUGUCUGAAUGUUGUACUGGCACACUGACAGAAGAAAAUGAAUGAGAGACUAAUUUUUCUGCACUUUGAACAUAUCUUAUUGCAUGAAUCCAGGUAUCCGGGGCUGCUCACAGCUUUGCUUCUUGUGAUGUUUAUCGGAGAUGAUGGUCUAAAAAGACCCCCCCCCCCACAUGGAAUAUACCAGUUGUGUUUGCCUGAGGCCCCAGUUCUGAGGAUUACAUGAUAGAUCCAGAUCAUGGUGCAGAACCUGCAGAAGGUGUGAAGGGAAUGAUGGGAGAUCAGGACUUCCUCACCUGAUGAAAGGUCUGGAGAUGGCCAGGACGGUCCGGAUGAACCAGCGCAAACAAAUCUGAGUUCCUCCUACUUCCUGUCGAUCAUCUGAUAGCAUCUCUUCAGCCAGCUGAUUCCUGGCAUCUUCCUGCGAGGAGUGGCGCCGUUCAGGUAAAUAAUCAUGUAGUCUUCGGCCACCAGAAGCUCCAGACUGCUCACCACGUACCUGAGAGGGAGAACUGCAUCAAAACCAGGCUUUCUGGUCCUCUUUGACCUCCAAAGGAGGACAGAGGACACUGCUUCAGAAGGGCUUACAGGAACAGGUUCUCCAUGAUGUAUGUGUAGUCAUCAGAGCUGCUGUCAGGCAGGUAGCAGGCCGCGAAGACGAUGAUGGCGUUCAAACCCUCGCCGUAGUAACCUGAGCAGAAACAAACGGCUCAUGGUACUACUAAAAAUACGUUAAUAACUGUUAUUUCUGCUAUAUCAAUAUAGAAACACUUGAUCAUCUGUUUUUGAAUAUGUUAACGGUUUUUGGAGGAUUGUUUUUGUUGGUGCUGUUCAAAGUUUCCCUUUCCUAUUGCUAUUCAAUUACAAAAACAUAUCGUGUUAUUUGGAGAUAUUCUGGUGAUUAUUCAUUUGAUUUUUCAGUCAGCACUCUAUUAGUAUCUGGAACAUUUUUCAUUCAUAAGAGCAUAUUUUUAAAAAUCAAACCAUCAUUUAAUACAUUUCAUAAAGUUAUCUGUUUAUAUUUUAAAUCGCUGAAAUUUAUGAAAAACAAAAAUGCAAGAAAACUGUCCAUUUUCAUUGAAGAUCAGGUGCUGUAUGACCAUAUUAUGACAUUUGUACAAGGCCACAAUUCCGUUUUUUAUUUUAAUUUGUCGUAUUGUAUUAUUUUUUUCAUCUUUAUUUCUUUCUGUUCUAUACGUGAACAUGUAUGUCAUCUUUUGAAGUUCUAAUAAAUAAAUAAAAAAAACAGU